GUUAGAAGUCUCACAUUGGCUAGAGAUAUGGCAAAGAUAGCCUUUAUAAGUGUAGUGCAAACCUCAACUCUCAAGCUAGCUUUUGUGGUUGAGUAUAGGCCUCCCAAAUUCUAAUAUGGUAUCAAAGCCUAUCCUAGAUCAACUUGUUGUUUGUUGUGGAGACCUCCCAUAUUUGGGCCACCCGUUGUUGUUGAUCCCACGUUCCAGCUUGUUCAGUUCUGGACGUGAGGGGGUGUGUUAGAAGUC
rnacentral:lncRNA from 1 species